GAAAGUGUCGGCUAAUGGUAAGCCAGUAAGAAAUUAUGUAUGUGGGUUCGACUCCCACCGGCUUUC
rnacentral:tRNA from 1 species